rnacentral:tRNA from 1 species
GGGCCCGUAGCCUAGCGUGGAUAGGGCGCCGGACUUCUAAUCCGGAGAUCGCGGGUUCAAAUCCCGCCGGGUCCG